AAGUCGUAACAAGGUUUCCGUAGGUGAACCUGCGGAAGGAUCAUUACAGAGUUCAUGCCCCUACGGGUAGAUCUCCCACCCUUGAAUAUUAUACCUUUGUUGCUUUGGCGGGCCGCUUCGGCUACCGGCUACGGCUGGUGAGUGCCCGCCAAAGGACCCCCAAACUCUGAAUUAUAGUGUCGUCUGAGUACUAUAUAAUAGUUAAAACUUUCAACAACGGAUCUCUUGGUUCUGGCAUCGAUGAAGAACGCAGCGAAAUGCGAUAAGUAAUGUGAAUUGCAGAAUUCAGUGAAUCAUCGAAUCUUUGAACGCACAUUGCGCCCCUUGGUAUUCCGAGGGGCAUGCCUGUUCGAGCGUCAUUAUAACCCCUCAAGCUCAGCUUGGUAUUGGGGCCUGCCAUCCUGGCAGCCCUUAAAAUCAGUGGCGGUGCCAUCCGGCUCUAAGCGUAGUAACUCUUCUCGCUAUGGAGUCCUGGUGGAUGCUUGCCAUUAAUCUUUUAACUUCUAUGGUUGACCUCGGAUCAGGUAGGGAUACCCGCUGAACUUAAGCAUAUCAAUAAGCGGAGGAAAAGAAACCAACAGGGAUUGCCUCAGUAACGGCGAGUGAAGCGGCAACAGCUCAAAUUUGAAAUCUGGCUCUUUCAGGGUCCGAGUUGUAAUUUGUAGAAGAUGCUUCGGGUGUGGCCCCGGUCUAAGUUCCUUGGAACAGGACGUCAUAGAGGGUGAGAAUCCCGUAUGUGACUGGGUGCCUUCGCUCAUGUGAAGCUCUUUCGACGAGUCGAGUUGUUUGGGAAUGCAGCUCAAAAUGGGUGGUAAAUUUCAUCUAAAGCUAAAUAUUGGCCAGAGACCGAUAGCGCACAAGUAGAGUGAUCGAAAGAUGAAAAGCACUUUGGAAAGAGAGUUAAACAGUACGUGAAAUUGUUGAAAGGGAAGCGCUUGCAACCAGACUUGCAUGCGGUCGAUCAUCCGGUGUUCUCACCGGUGCACUCGGCCGCGUUCAGGCCAGCAUCGGUUUCGGUGGUUGGAUAAAGGCCUUGGGAAUGUAGCUUCUUUAGGGGAGUGUUAUAGCCCUCGGUGCAAUGCAGCCUACUGGGACCGAGGACCGCGCUUCGGCUAGGAUGCUGGCGUAAUGGUUGUAAGCGACC
rnacentral:rRNA from 1 species